CUGGAACAGCGCUAGGUUUGGGUUUGGGCGCUGUUGCAUAAUCAGGCCCAAAGUUUACGCAUACACGGAAGUUAAUACGGUGACCUAGCUGGGCUUUUAGUAGAUUGGUAGAAUAAAUCAACAUUUUCUACAACAUUCGUGCAUCAUCCGGCCGGUUGCAAAGUCAUCGACGUAGGUAAUCGACCGACCACCACUAACAAACGAGCGAAUAGUUUGUGAUAAGAUGGCGGCUACACGAAGAUUAAAAAAGGUUUGGAAUUUA